GAUGAACGCUGGCGGCGUGCUUAACACAUGCAAGUCGAACGGAAAGGCCCAAGCUUGCUUGGGUACUCGAGUGGCGAACGGGUGAGUAACACGUGGGUGAUCUGCCCUGCACUUCGGGAUAAGCCUGGGAAACUGGGUCUAAUACCGGAUAGGACCACAUUUUGGAUGGUGUGGUGGAAAGUUUUUCGGUGUGGGAUGAGCUCGCGGCCUAUCAGCUUGUUGGUGGGGUAAUGGCCUACCAAGGCGUCGACGGGUAGCCGGCCUGAGAGGGUGUACGGCCACAGUGGGACUGAGAUACGGCCCAGACUCCUACGGGAGGCAGCAGUGGGGAAUAUUGCACAAUGGGCGCAAGCCUGAUGCAGCGACGCCGCGUGGGGGAUGACGGCCUUCGGGUUGUAAACUCCUUUCGCCAGGGACGAAGCGUUAUGUGACGGUACCUGGAGAAGAAGCACCGGCUAACUACGUG
rnacentral:rRNA from 1 species